AAAUAUCCAAUCUCCACCAGUCCUGUAUACUGUUCAAAGAAACUCACCUCCUUGGACAGCCAAAAGAACAAAAACCCUAAUCUUCUGAUGCUUUGGAACUUCUGCCAUGUUAAUUAUGGACUGCUUAGAGCACUGUACUUACCUGUGUGCUCAGACACUGACGAGACCGAGUAUGAAAAUCCUGCUCAGCGUUUCUUGUAUGAAAGCCUUAAAGUGUAUAACAGCAUACAUACACUUUUUAAAAUAAUUGUAUAUUGAAACUCUUAACUGUAUAGUGAUGCAACAAUGUUUUAUUUGGAGCUCAAUAAAGAAUUUCCGUCUAAGUUCCUGUUACAAAGCAAUAAUGCAACCUCCCAUUCUUUAGUGACUCUUUUUAGCCUUAUGCAGCAAGUGUAAGAGAGUGUGUGAAGUCUCAUGACUAGAACUUAAAUGCUUUUGGAAGUAGCUUGUCUAAUGUAUGAACAACAUGGAUAAGUUAAAAUGAAGAUUGGUGUUGUCUGCUGAAGCUUUUCUUAAUAGCUAAUUGUAAACAAGUCUGCUCCAGAAAAGACUCUUGGGUAGAAAUAAUGCUCCGACUUCCAUUUCCUUCAAAAACUUGUAUAACAGGAAGGUGUUUAAUCCCUGUCAAUUAUUAUAUCAAUAAGGAGCAAUCCCUGCUGCUUAUUCUCUUUCACUUGGUGUUUGAUGCAUAGGAAUCUUUUCUCUAAUACACAGUCACAGGUU
rnacentral:lncRNA from 1 species